rnacentral:rRNA from 1 species
GAUGAACGCUGGCGGCGUGCCUAAUACAUGCAAGUCGAGCGAACGGACGAGAAGCUUUCUUCUCUGAUGUUAGCGGCGGACGGGUGAGUAACACGUGGAUAACCUACCUAUAAGACUGGGAUAACUUCGGGAAACCGGAGCUAAUACCGGAUAAUUUUUUGAACCGCAUGGUUCAAAAGUGAAAGACGGUCUUGCUGUCACUUAUAGAUGGAUCCGCGCUGCAUUAGCUAGUUGGUAAGGUAACGGCUUACCAAGGCAACGAUGCAUAGCCGACCUGAGAGGGUGAUCGGCCACACUGGAACUGAGACACGGUCCAGACUCCUACGGGAGGCAGCAGUAGGGAAUCUUCCGCAAUGGGCGAAAGCCUGACGGAGCAACGCCGCGUGAGUGAUGAAGGUCUUCGGAUCGUAAAACUCUGUUAUUAGGGAAGAACAUAUGUGUAAGUAACUGUGCACAUCUUGGCGGUACCUAAUCAGAAAGCCACGGCUAACUACGUG